GACGAACGCUGGCGGCGUGCCUAAUACAUGCAAGUCGAACGAGAGCGACCGGUGCUUGCACUGGUCAAUCUAGUGGCGAACGGGUGAGUAACACGUGGGUAACCUGCCCAUCAGAGGGGGAUAACAUUCGGAAACGGAUGCUAAAACCGCAUAGAUCUUCGAACCGCAUGGUUUGAAGAGGAAAAGAGGCGCAAGCUUCUGCUGAUGGAUGGACCCGCGGUGCAUUAGCUAGUUGGUGAGGUAACGGCUCACCAAGGCCGUGAUGCAUAGCCGACCUGAGAGGGUGAUCGGCCACAUUGGGACUGAGACACGGCCCAAACUCCUACGGGAGGCAGCAGUAGGGAAUCUUCCGCAAUGGACGCAAGUCUGACGGAGCAACGCCGCGUGAGUGAAGAAGGUUUUCGGAUCGUAAAACUCUGUUGUUAGAGAAGAAUAAGUGCUAGAGUAACUGUUAGCGCCUUGACGGUAUCUAACCAGAAAGCCACGGCUAACUACGUG
rnacentral:rRNA from 1 species